AGAGUUUGAUCCUGGCUCAGAUUGAACGCUGGCGGCAUGCUUUACACAUGCAAGUCGAACGGCAGCACGGGUGCUUGCACCUGGUGGCGAGUGGCGAACGGGUGAGUAAUGCACCGGAACGUACCCAGUAAUGGGGGAUAACACAUCGAAAGAUGUGCUAAUACCGCAUACGCCCUGAGGGGGAAGGCGGGGGAUCGUAAGACCUCGCGUUAUUGGAGCGGCCGAUGCCGGAUUAGCUAGUUGGUGAGGUAAGAGCUCACCAAGGCGACGAUCCGUAGCUGGUCUGAGAGAACGACCAGCCACACUGGGACUGAGACACGGCCCAGACUCCUACGGGAGGCAGCAGUGGGGAAUUUUGGACAAUGGGCGCAAGCCUGAUCCAGCCAUGCCGCGUGAGUGAAGAAGGCCUUCGGGUUGUAAAGCUCUUUCGCAAGGAAAGAAAACUUAUCU
rnacentral:rRNA from 1 species